CCGACCGACUUUGCGCUUAAAUGUGAAUUGUUUGUCUCAGUGUUCGAAGCCGAUUCCAAGACCGUUACAUUGACAACAAUAUGACACUCAAAAAGAUUACCAGAAAGCUGCAUGCUGAAGCAACCAAGCUGUGGCAACAUAUUCAGAAGGUGUCAAUCAACAAGACUUACAACUGAUUGAAUGUGCCUUUAUUUCAUGAACAAUGUUAAAUGUGUUGUUAUUAUUAAUACUACUGUUAUUAAAUCAAUUCCUUUAACAUA